rnacentral:rRNA from 1 species
AUUGAACGCUGGCGGCAGGCUUAACACAUGCAAGUCGAGCGGAGAUGAGGUGCUUGCACCUUAUCUUAGCGGCGGACGGGUGAGUAAUGCUUAGGAAUCUGCCUAUUAGUGGGGGACAACAUUCCGAAAGGAAUGCUAAUACCGCAUACGCCCUACGGGGGAAAGCAGGGGAUCUUCGGACCUUGCGCUAAUAGAUGAGCCUAAGUCGGAUUAGCUAGUUGGUGGGGUAAAGGCCUACCAAGGCGACGAUCUGUAGCGGGUCUGAGAGGAUGCUCCGCCAAACUGGGACUGAGACACAGCCCAGACUCCUACGGGAGGCAGCAGUGGGGAAGAUUGGACAAUGGGCGGAAGCCUGAUCCAGCCAUGCCGCGUGUGUGAAGAAGGCCUUUUGGUUGUAAAGCACUUUAAGCGAGGAGGAGGCUACCUGGAUUAAUACUCUAGGAUAGUGGACGUUACUCGCAGAAUAAGCACCGGCUAACUCUGUGCCAGCAGCCGCCGUAAGAC